rnacentral:rRNA from 1 species
UACGGAGGAUCCAAGCGUUAUCCGGAUUUAUUGGGUUUAAAGGGUGCGCAGGCGGAAGAUUAAGUCGGCGGUGAAAUUUUGCAGCUCAACUGUAAAAGUGCCAUCGAUACUGGCUUUCUUGAGUGUGGAUGAAGUAGGCGGAAUUUGUGGUGUAGCGGUGAAAUGCAUAGAUAUCACGAGGAACUCCGAUUGCGCAGGCAGCUUACUAGGCCAUAACUGACGCUCAGGCACGAAGGCGUGGGGAUCAAACAGGAUUA